AGAUUGAACGCUGGCGGCAGGCCUAACACAUGCAAGUCGAGCGGUAGAGAGGUGCUUGCAUCUCUUGAGAGCGGCGGACGGGUGAGUAAUGCCUAGGAAUCUGCCUAGUGGUGGGGGAUAACGUUCGGAAACGGACGCUAAUACCGCAUACGUCCUACGGGAGAAAGCGGGGGACCUUCGGGCCUCGCGCCAUUAGAUGAGCCUAGGUCGGAUUAGCUAGUUGGUGAGGUAAUGGCUCACCAAGGCGACGAUCCGUAACUGGUCUGAGAGGAUGAUCAGUCACACUGGAACUGAGACACGGUCCAGACUCCGUACGGGAGCAGCA
rnacentral:rRNA from 1 species